GGGUGAGUAACACGUGGGUAACCUGCCUUAUAGAGGGGGAUAGCCUUCCGAAAGGAAGAUUAAUACCGCAUAAAGUCUGAUUUUCACAUGAGAAUUUGACCAAAGGAGCAAUCCGCUAUAAGAUGGACCCGCGGCGCAUUAGCUAGUUGGUGAGGUAACGGCUCACCAAGGCGACGAUGCGUAGCCGACCUGAGAGGGUGAUCGGCCACAUUGGAACUGAGAUACGGUCCAGACUCCUACGGGAGGCAGCAGUGGGGAAUAUUGCACAAUGGGCGAAAGCCUGAUGCAGCAACGCCGCGUGAGUGAUGAAGGCCUUCGGGUUGUAAAGCUCUGUCUUUUGGGACGAUAAUGACGGUACCAAAGGAGGAAGCCACGGCUAACUACGUGCCAGUAGCCGCGGUAAUACGUAGGUGGCAAGCGUUGUCCGGAUUUACUGGGCGUAAAGAAUGCGUAGGCGGAUAUUUAAGUGGGAUGUGAAAUACCCGGGCUCAACUUGGGUGCUGCAUUCCAAACUGGACAUCU
rnacentral:rRNA from 1 species